UACAGAGGGUGCAAGCGUUGUUCGGAAUUACUGGGCGUAAAGCGCGUGUAGGCGGCUAGAAAAGUCAGAUGUGAAAUCCCUAGGCUUAACCAAGGAACUGCAUUUGAUACUGUCUAGCUUGAGUUUUGGAGGGGGUGGUGGAAUUCCUAGUGUAGAGGUAAAAUUCGUAGAUAUUCGGAGGAACACCAGUGGCGAAGGCGGCUCACUGGCUCGAUACUGACGCUGAGGUGCGAAAGCGUGGGGAGCAAACAGG
rnacentral:rRNA from 1 species